rnacentral:antisense_RNA from 1 species
GGAGGCACAGACGGGGGCCCGUGGGGGCAGGACGGCAGCCUCCCCGAAGCACAGGGCCAGGUGCUGAGCUGGGAAGGCACCAUCAUAACGCCCUGGAGGGCCGGGCUUGAAAUGAGAACUCAGAAAACCACACCAGAGCAUAGCCCACCUCCCUUCUCUUCCCUGACCGUGCCCCCCAGCAGAGGACCCUGGCCCACAGCCAAGCCACACCCACGCCACUCCUGCGAACAGCCACUUGUAACUAAGUAUGAGGAACCAAGGAAACGUUACUAAGACAACUUGGUGGGGGGAGCCAGUGUUCGCAGACCCUAGGAUCCCUUUACAGUUUCUGAGCACA